AGAGUUUGAUCCUGGCUCAGAAUCAACGCUGGCGGCGUGCCUCAGACAUGCAAGUCGAACGAUUAAAGCUCUCUUCGGAGAGUGCAUAGAGUGGCGCACGGGUGAGUAACACGUAAGUAAUCUACCCUCGAGUGGGGAAUAACGUCCGGAAACGGGCGCUAAUACCGCAUAAUGCAGCGGCAUCAUAAGAUGACAGUUGUUAAAGAUUUAUCGCUUGAGGAGGAGCUUGCGGCAGAUUAGCUAGUUGGUAAGGUAACGGCUUACCAAGGCUACGAUCUGUAACCGGUCUUAGAGGACGGUCGGUCACACUGACACUGAAUAACGGGUCAGACUCCUACGGGAGGCAGCAGUCGGGAAUUUUGGGCAAUGGGCGAAAGCCUGACCCAGCAACGCCGCGUGAAGGAUGAAGUAUUUCGGUAUGUAAACUUCGAAAGAAUAGGAAGAAUAAAUGACGGUACUAUUUAUAAGGUCCGGCUAACUACGUGCCAGCAGCCGCGGUAAUACGUAGGGACCAAGCGUUGUUCGGAUUUACUGGGCGUAAAGGGCGCGUAGGCGGCAUGACAAGUCACUUGUGAAAUCUCCGGGCUUAACUCGGAACGGCCAAGUGAUACUGUCACGCUAGAGUAUUGGAGGGGCAAUCGGAAUUCUUGGUGUAGCGGUGAAAUGCGUAGAUAUCAAGAGGAACACCUGAGGUGAAGACGGGUUGCUGGCCAAAUACUGACGCUGAGGUGCGAAAGCCAGGGGAGCAAACGGGAUUAGAUACCCCGGUAGU
rnacentral:rRNA from 1 species